rnacentral:rRNA from 1 species
CCUACGGGAGACAGCAGUGAGGAAUAUUGGUCAAUGGGCGCUAGCCUGAACCAGCCAAGUAGCGUGAAGGAUGACUGCCCUAUGGGUUGUAAACUUCUUUUAUAUGGGAAUAAAGUGCAGUAUGUAUACUGCUUUGCAUGUACCUUAUGAAUAAGGAUCGGCUAACCCCGUGCCAGCAGCCGCGGUAAUACGGAGGAUCCGAGCGUUAUCCGGAUUUAUUGGGUUUAAAGGGAGCGUAGGCGGGUUGUUAAGUCAGUUGUGAAAGUUUGCGGCUCAACCGUAAAAUUGCAGUUGAAACUGGCAGCCUUGAGUACAGGAGAGGUAGGCGGAAUGCGCGGUGUAGCGGUGAAAUGCUUAGAUAUCGCGCAGAACCCCGAUUGCGAAGGCAGCGUACCGACUCCACACUGACGCUGAGGCACGAAAGCGUGGGUAUCGAACAGGAUUAGAUACCCCAGUAGUC